rnacentral:rRNA from 1 species
UACGUGAGGUGCAAGCGUUGUCCGGAAUUAUUGGGCGUAAAGAGCUCGUAGGUGGCCUGUCGCGUCGGCUGUGAAAACUCGGGGCUCAACUCCGAGCUUGCAGUCGAUACGGGCAGGCUAGAGUUCGGCAGGGGAGACUGGAAUUCCUGGUGUAGCGGUGAAAUGCGCAGAUAUCAGGAGAACACCGGUGGCGAAGGCGGGUCUCUGGGCCGAUACUGACACUGAGGAGCGAAAGCGUGGGGAGCGAACAGG